rnacentral:rRNA from 1 species
AACUAUAACGGUCCUAAGGUAGCGAAAUUCCUUGUCAGGUAAGUUCUGACCCGCAUGAAAGGCGUAAUGAUUUGGGCACUGUCUCAACAGCCCGCCCGGCGAAAUUGUAGUACCGGUGAAGAUGCCGGUUACCCGCGACAAGACGGAAAGACCCCAUGGAGCUUUACUGUAGCCUAAUAUUGGGUUUCGAUGUUGCAUGCACAGGAUAGAUGGGACACUGGGAAACAAGUGCUUUGGCAUUUGUGGAGUGGCCGUUGGGAUACCAUCCUUGCGAUAUUGGAAUUCUAACCUGCGCCUUUGAAUCAAGGCGGGGGACAUUGUUAGGUGGGCAGUUUGACUGGGGCGGUCGCCUCCUAAAGAGUAACGGAGGCGUUCAAAGGUUCGCUCAGCUUGAACGGAAAUCAAGCAAAAGAGUGCAAACGCAGAAGCGAGCCUAACUGCGAGACUGACGGGUCGAGCAGUAACGAAAGUUGGAGUUAGUGAUCCGGUGGUAUGUGAGUGGAAAUGCCAUCGCUCAACGGAUAAAAGUUACCCUGGGGAUAACAGGCUGAUCUCCCCCAAGAGUCCACAUCGACGGGGAGGUUUGGCACCUCGAUGUCGGCUCAUCGCAUCCUGGGGCUGUAUUCGGUCCCAAGGGUUUGGCUGUUCGCCAAUUAAAGCGGUACGCGAGCUGGGUUCAGAACGUCGUGAGACAGUUCGGUCCCUAUCUGUCGUGGGCGCAGGAUAUUUGAAAGGCGCUGUCCCUAGUACGAGAGGACCGGGAUGGACGAACCUCUGGUGCACCAGUUGUCACGCCAGUGGCACAGCUGGGCAGCUAUGUUCGGAUCGGAUAAACGCUGAAAGCAUCUAAGCGUGAAGCCGGCCUUAAGAUAAGAUAUCCCACUGAGAUAAUCAGGUAAGACCCCUUGAAGACUACAAGGUUGAUAGGCACAAUGUGUAAGUGGCGCGAGUCAUUGAGCAAGCGUGUACUAAUAGGUCGAGGGCUUGACCC